CUAGUGUUGUCUUAUGUCUCUCUGUCUAGUGUUGUCUUAUGUCUCUCUGUCUAGUGUUGUCUUAGGUCUCUGUCUAGUGUUGUCUUAUGUCUCUCUGUCUAGUGUUGUCUUAGGUCUCUGUCUAGUGUUGUCUUAGGUCUCUGUCUAGUGUUGUCUUAGGUCUCUGUCUAGUGUUGUCUUAGGUCUCUCUGUCUAGUGUUGUCUUAGGUCUCUCUGUCUGUCUAGUGUUGUCUUAGGUCUCUAUGUCUAGUGUUGUCUUAGGUCUCUAUGUCUAGUGUUGUCUUAGGUCUCUCUGUCUAGUGUUGUCUUAGGUCUCUCUGUCUAGUGUUGUCUUAGGUCUCUCUGUCUAGUGUUGUCUUAGGUCUCUGUCUAGUGUUGUCUUAGGUCUCUGUCUAGUGUUGUCUUAGGUCUCUCUGUCUAGUGUUGUCUUAGGUCUCUCUGUCUAGUGUUGUCUUAGGUCUCUCUGUCUAGUGUUGUCUUAGGUCUCUCUGUCUAGUGUUGUCUUAGGUCUCUGUCUAGUGUUGUCUUAGGUCUCUGUCUAGUGUUGUCUUAGGUCUCUCUCUAUGUCUAGUGUUGUCUUAGGUCUCUCUCUAUGUCUAGUGUUGUCUUAGGUCUCUCUCUCUGUCUAGUGUUGUCUUAGGUCUCUCUCUCUGUCUAGUGUUGUCUUAGGUCUCUCUCUCUGUCUAGUGUUGUCUUAGGUCUCUCUGUCUGUCUAGUGUUGUCUUAGGUCUCUCUGUCUGUCUAGUGUUGUCUUAGGUCUCUCUGUCUGUCUAGUGUUGUCUUAGGUCUCUCUGUCUGUCUAGUGUUGUCUUAGGUCUCUCUGUCUGUCUAGUGUUGUCUUAGGUCUCUCUGUCUGUCUAGUGUUGUCUUAAG